CUUUGAUUAUUUGUUUUAAUGUUAUUCUGAAUGUGAAUGUGUGUAUAUUAUAGUUUUCUCAAUGAGGUUUAUAAAGUUAAUUGUGCAGUAGGUAAUUUUAUUGAUAUUAAAUUAUUUUAGAUUUAGUGAAUGUUAUAAAAGUUUGGUAAAAAUUGUGCCAGCAUCCGCGGUGAUACAGUGAAAUUAAAUAAAUAAUAUUGGUUUUUAAAUAAUUAAUGUUAAUUAAUGUUAAAUGAUGAUUAAAGUAUUUUAAGGUGAAAUGUUUUUAAAAUAUUUUAAUUAAUUAUUAGUUAGUAUGAUGGAUUAUGAGAUUAAAAAGGUAAACUAGGAUUAGAUACCCUAUUAUUUUUAUGGUAAAUUAAUAAACUAAAGUAUUAGCAGAUAUGAUCUUGAAACUUAAAGAAUUUGACGGUAUUAUAAUCUAUUUAGAGGAGUCUAUUAUUUAAUUGAUAAUCCGCGUUGGACCUUACUUACUUUAUAUUUUUGUAUACCGCUGUUUGAGAAUAUUUUUUUAGAUAAUUUUCUGAGCAUAAAAAUAUAUAAUAUUUCAAGUCAAGGUGCAGUAAUAAGUAAGUUUGAUGAUGGACUACAAUAAAUUGUAUUUAUUAUGGAUAAUUAUUGGAAAGUAAUUUAAAGGUGGAUUUAAUUGUAAUUUUAUGAAGUUUGUUAAAAUGAUUAAUAGCUCUAUAAUAUGUACACAUCGCCCGUCACUCUCAUAUUAAGAUGAGAUAAGUCGUAACAAAGUAGGCGUACCGGAAGGUGUGCCUAGAAAGUCACUUGAA
rnacentral:ncRNA from 1 species